rnacentral:rRNA from 1 species
UGGGGAAUUUUGGACAAUGGGCGAAAGCCUGAUCCAGCAAUGCCGCGUGUGUGAAGAAGGCCUUCGGGUUGUAAAGCACUUUUGUCCGGAAAGAAAUCCUUGGCUCUAAUACAGUCGGGGGAUGACGGUACCGGAAGAAUAAGCACCGGCUAACUACGUGCCAGCAGCCGCGGUAAUACGUAGGGUGCAAGCGUUAAUCGGAAUUACUGGGCGUAAAGCGUGCGCAGGCGGUUUGCUAAGACCGAUGUGAAAUCCCCGGGCUCAACCUGGGGAACUGCAUUGGUGACUGGCAGGCUAGAGUAUGGCAGAGGGGGGUAGAAUUCCACGUGUAGCAGUGAAAUGCGUAGAGAUGUGGAGGAAUACCGAUGGCGAAGGCAGCCCCUGGGCCAAUACUGACGCUCAUGCACGAAAGCGUGGGGAGCAAACAGGAUUAGAUACCCUGGUAGUCCACGCCCUAAACGAUGUCAACUAGUUGUUGGGGAUUCAUUUCCUUAGUAACGUAGCUAACGCGUGAAGUUGACCGCCUGGGGAGUACGGUCGCAAGAUUAAAACUCAAGGAAUUGACGGGGUCAUAGCUGUUUCC